CGAAAGCCUGACGGAGCAACGCCGCGUGAGGGAGGAAGGUCUGUGGAUUGUAAACCUCUUUUGUUAGGGAAGAAGCUCUGACGGUACCUAACGAAUAAGCAUCGGCUAACUCCGUGCCAGCAGCCGCGGUAAUACGGAGGAGGCAAGCGUUAUCCGGAAUUAUUGGGCGUAAAGCGUCCGCAGGUGGCGAUUCAAGUCUGCUGUCAAAGCACGGGGCUUAACUCCGUAAAGGCAGUGGAAACUGAAUAGCUAGAGUGCCGUAGGGGUAGAGGGAAUUCCCGGUGUAGCGGUGAAAUGCGUAGAGAUCGGGAAGAACAUCGGUGGCGAAAGCGCUCUACUGGACGGCAACUGACACUCAGGGACGAAAGCUAGGGGAGCG
rnacentral:rRNA from 1 species